GUGCCAGCAGCCGCGGUAAUACCGGCAGCCCGAGUGAUGGCCGAUCUUAUUGGGCCUAAAGCGUCCGUAGCUGGCCGCGCAAGUCCAUCGGAAAAUCCACCCGCCCAACGGGUGGGCGUCCGGUGGAAACUGCGUGGCUUGGGACCGGAAGGCUCGAAGGGUACGUUCGGGGUAGGAGUGAAAUCCCAUAAUCCCGCACGGACCACCGAUGGCGAAAGCACUUCGAGAAAACGGAUCCGACAGUGAGGGACGAAAGCCAGGGUCUCCAACCGGAUUAGAUACCCGAGUAGUCC
rnacentral:rRNA from 1 species